rfam:Ethanoligenens harbinense YTAN-3, complete genome.
GGGGGCGUAAAGGUUUCGACGGGGGUACGGAAACAAAGUAAGCGAGCAGCGGUGCGGUACCGCUAUAAACCUCCGCAUGCAUUUUAAAUGCGAAAGAUAAUGUUAUCCGCGUCAACUUCGGUCGUUCCGAGGAGGCGCUUGCUGCUUAAUUAAAGCAGCACGUUCAGCCUGAGAGUACCGCGGCCUAGGAUCUGAACGUCAUUUAGCGGUGAACGCAUCCGUCAGUUGCCCUUGCAGCGGAUGUGUAUUUAAGGGCUGCCAAUGCGCAUAGCCUGCCGUUUGGGGAUGCACUGCGGGACUAUUUAAAUAAGCGGCUGCGCUCGGAGAAAACUUUGUGAAUGUGCUUUCGGACAGGGGUUCAACUCCCCUCGCCUCCACCA